ACAAUUUAAGACAACAGAUUUACGAGAUGUUAAGUACAUUGGAGGACUUGGUGAAGAAGGAAGGUUAUAGGGCUGAAACACAGGAGGCAAUUUUUUUAGAAGAAUACAAAGAACAGAGCUUGUGAUACCAUAAGAAUCAAAGAUUAAGGUAUGAGCUGGUUUUGCUUCAGUAAAGUACUCAAAGCGAGGCUUAAUUAAUCUAUUUUUCCUUUUGUGAUGCCUUGUUAUAGACAACUGAUGCACGGAUUGAGAAUGUAAUGGAAGCACAAACAUUUUGCAGCAAAGUAUUAACCUCUUGUUUGCUAUCUUAUAUUAGUAACCAACAACUUUUACAAAACUUCACCAAGUUCAUCCAGUACAUUUUACAAAGCUGACUCUUUUUGGUACCAAGAAAACAAAGGGAAAGAAGUCUCUGAGGGAAUAAAGUAGAAGUUGAAAUUAAGGUCAUCAAGAUGCUCUUGGAGACACUUUGUAGAUGCUUCCAUCUAGUGGUGACUGGUGAAUGCUGGAACAAUAUUAGGUAAUUUUCAGUCGCAGAUGCUCCUUUCUUUACAUGCUUUUUUGAAGAUCAAUUCCAUUUAUAGCAUUCUGUUCCCAUCAAGGAGGGCCAGCUUUACAGGGUAUGUAAUUCUCUAGGCUCACUUUGUAAUCGUCAUUGGCUUCCUCUUUCUAAUUUCCAUUACCUAGUGGAACCCUCUACUUUAUUUGUGUUAUAAUGUCCAUAAUAUCAAAUUUUAUGCAUGAAAUGCAAAAUGCUUGACAUUUCUGUCAA